CGGACAGAUGGGAGCUUGCUCCCUGAUGUUAGCGGCGGAGGGGAAAGUAACACGUGGGUAACCUGCCUGUAAGACUGGGAUAACUCCGGGAAACCGGGGCUAAUACCGGAUGGUUGUUUGAACCGCAUGGUUCAGACAUAAAAGGUGGCUUCGGCUACCACUUACAGAUGGACCCGCGGCGCAUUAGCUAGUUGGUGAGGUAACGGCUCACCAAGGCGACGAUGCGUAGCCGACCUGAGAGGGUGAUCGGCCACACUGGGACUGAUACACGGCCCAGACUCCUACGGGAGGCAGCAGUGGGGAAUCUUCCGCAAUGGACGAGUGUCUGACGGAGCAACGCCGGGUGAGUGAUGAAGGUUUUCGGAGCGU
rnacentral:rRNA from 1 species